rnacentral:rRNA from 1 species
AGAGUUUGAUCCUGGCUCAGGACAAACGCUGGCGGCGUGCUUAACACAUGCAAGUCGAACGGGAUGCAUUUGGGGGGCAACCCCUGGAUGCAUCUAGUGGCGAACGGGUGAGUAACACGUGGGUAACCUGCCCCCAAGACCGGGAUAACCCGCCGAAAGGCGGAUUAAUACCGGAUGCCGUCCCGAGGUGAGAUUCCUCGGGAUGAAAGGAUGGCUGAGGCUUGCAAGCUAUCGCUUGAGGAUGGGCCCGCGGCUGAUUAGCUAGUUGGUAGGGUAAUGGCCUACCAAGGCAACGAUCAGUAGCCGGCCUGAGAGGGUGUACGGCCACACUGGAACUGAGACACGGUCCAGACUCCUACGGGAGGCAGCAGUGGGGAAUCUUCCACAAUGGGGGAAACCCUGAUGCAGCAACGCCGCGUGGGUGAUGAAGGCCUUCGGGUCGUAAAACCCUUUUCUGGAGGAAGAGAAAGGACGGUACUCCAGGAAUAAGUCCCGGCUAACUACGUGCCAGCAGCCGCGGUAAAACGUAGGGGGCGAGCGUUAUCCGGAUUUAUUGGGCGUAAAGCGCGUGCAGGCGGCUUGGUAGGUUGGGCGUGAAAGCUCCUGGCUUAACUGGGAGAGGCCGUUCAAUACCGCCAGGCUUGAGGUCGGAAGAGGGGAGUGGAAUUCCCGGUGUAGUGGUGGAAUGCGUAGAUAUCGGGAGGAACACCUGUGGCGAAAGCGGCUCCCUGGUCCGCACCUGACGCUCAGACGCGAAAGCGUGGGGAGCGAACGGGAUUAGAUACCCCGGUAGUCCACGCUGUAAACGAUGGAUGCUAGGUAUGGGUGGUAUUGACCCCAUCUGUGCCGUAGCUAACGCGUUAAGCAUCCCGCCUGAGGACUACGGCCGCAAGGCUAAAACUCAAAGGAAUUGACGG